ACUUCGGUGGGGAUUAGUGGCGAACGGGUGAGUAACACGUGGGCAAUCUGCCCUGCACUCUGGGACAAGCCCUGGAAACGGGGUCUAAUACCGGAUACUGAUCCGCCUGGGCAUCCAGGCGGUUCGAAAGCUCCGGCGGUGCAGGAUGAGCCCGCGGCCUAUCAGCUUGUUGGUGAGGUAGUGGCUCACCAAGGCGACGACGGGUAGCCGGCCUGAGAGGGCGACCGGCCACACUGGGACUGAGACACGGCCCAGACUCCUACGGGAGGCAGCAGUGGGGAAUAUUGCACAAUGGGCGAAAGCCUGAUGCAGCGACGCCGCGUGAGGGAUGACGGCCUUCGGGUUGUAAACCUCUUUCAGCAGGGAAGAAGCGAAAGUGACGGUACCUGCAGAAGAAGCGCCGGCUAACUACGUGCCAGCAGCCGCGGUAAUACGUAGGGCGCAAGCGUUGUCCGGAAUUAUUGGGCGUAAAGAGCUCGUAGGCGGCUUGUCACGUCGGUUGUGAAAGCCCGGGGCUUAACCCCGGGUCUGCAGUCGAUACGGGCAGGCUAGAGUUCGGUAGGGGAGAUCGGAAUUCCUGGUGUAGCGGUGAAAUGCGCAGAUAUCAGGAGGAACACCGGUGGCGAAGGCGGAUCUCUGGGCCGAUACUGACGCUGAGGAGCGAAAGCGUGGGGAGCGAACAGGAUUAGAUACCCUGGUAGUCCACGCCGUAAACGGUGGGCACUAGGUGUGGGCAACAUUCCACGUUGUCCGUGCCGCAGCUAACGCAUUAAGUGCCCCGCCUGGGGAGUACGGCCGCAAGGCUAAAACUCAAAGGAAUUGACGGGGGCCC
rnacentral:rRNA from 1 species